GGCCGGCGUGGUCUUCGUGGGGCGACAUGAAGAGCGAACUGAAGUCGGCAUCCAUUGCCGACUUCAGUUCUUUGGGCCCAAUAACAGGCCCAAAAUUCAAGUCUUUACACUCUAACCAACUAAAAAAAAAUUUCGUCCUCGAAAUUAAAACAUACCUCAAUCCAAGAACAAGGCAGGAAACUUCUCUCUCAUCUCCUCCUCCAACUCCCAAGUAGCUUCUCUCUCACUGUGAUUGCUCCACUGCACCUUUACAUAAGGAAUCGUGCGCCUCCUCAAAACUUGGUCCUUCCUAUCCACUAUACGGAUAGGCUGCUCAACAUAAGAAAGAUCUGCGCGGAGCUGCAAAGGUGCCACUUCAAUCACAUGAUUUGGAUCAGCAAUAUACUUCCUCAGCAUGGAGACAUGAAAUACAGAAUGAACUCCCGAUAGAGCAGGUGGAAGUGCCAAUCUAUAAGCAACAG
rnacentral:lncRNA from 1 species